UUUUCAUGUUAUGUGACCUCAAUUAAGAGCCAAAUGCCUGGGUUAACAGGAAGCCCAGGGAGCUGAUUAUGAUGGAGCCAGGCGCAUCGGACUGGGGAGAGAAUUUCACAUCUAGGGAGCCACCACUCAAAAGGCCCGUUCCUGUCUUGCCCCCCUCCAUACUUCCACUGGAGGGGGAACACAAUGAAGAGCAUCGGAUGAUGAAUGGAAAGUCUGGGCAGGUUGUUGUUUUCAUCCAUCUGUCUCAGGAUACAGUGGAGAGAAAACAGCAAAGGCCUGAAGUAGAGAGCACAGCAGAGGUUAUAUUUUCUGAGAAUCCUCCGGAAAAACAAUCUCUCAAGGGACCUGCGGAUGGCAUUUUACCAUUGUACUGUAGAGAGUGUAUUAACUUAUGGUCUGUGUGUGUGGUUUGGGAGCUGCACGGCCAGGGAAAAAACAAUGCUGUCCAGGGUUGUAAAGACUGCAGAGAGAAUAAUUGGGUGCACUCUUCCCACCUUAGAUCAAAUCCAUGCUUCCAGGUGCCAUAAGAAAGCUGCAGAGAUAGCGCAGGAUAGUGUGCACCCCGGAAAUGAUCUCUUUCAGCUUCUGCCUUCUGGAAGAAGGUACAGGGUUAUAAAGGCCAGGACUAGCCGCCUGAGAAACAGUUUCUAUUCAAAUGCGAUUUUGGUUUUAAACGCAGUGUAAGGUAGUCUCUAUGGGAGUAUAUUGUAUUUAAUUGUGGGAGUUUUUAGGGGGUUAACCAGGCUGGGAUAGCUGGGAUAGGAGGCUUGUUGGUUUUUGAAUGUCUGAUGUAGAUUUUUUCAGUUUCGUUGUUCUGUAUGGGACAAUGACAAUAAAGAUUAUCGUAUUGGAGGGGUGUGCCUUUGGGGGUGAAGUCAAACUGUUGGGAGAUCGCAGCACCUGCUGUGGCUGUAGAAACCUACAGUGGUACCUUGAUUCUCAAACUUAAUUUGUUGCGGAAGUCCGUUCCAAAUCCAAAGCGUUCCAAAACCAAGGCGUGCUUUCCCAUAGAGAGUAAUGUAAAAUGGAUUAAUCCAUUCCAGACUUUUAAAAACAACCCCAAAACAGCAAUUUGACAUGGAUUUUACUAUCUAACAAGACCAUUGAUCCAUAAAAUGAAAGCAAUAAUCAAUGUACUGUACUAUAAAAUAAAUAAGGCAGUAUUGUAGAUGAUAAAAAUAAAAAUUAUUAAUUUUUCUUA